rnacentral:tRNA from 1 species
GGGAAUGUAGCUCAGCUGGUUAGAGCACUCGCCUGAUAAGCGAGAGGUCAAAGGUUCGAGUCCUUUCAUUCCCA